rfam:Homo sapiens chromosome 2, GRCh38 reference primary assembly.
GCUGGGUAUAGUGAUGCAUGCCUGUAGUCCCAGUUACUCUGGAGGCUGAGGCAGAAGGAUGGCUUGAGCCCAGGAGUCUCAGGCUGCAGUGAGCUAUGAUCAUGCCACUGCACUCCAGCCUGGUUGACAGAGCAAGCCUCUGUCUCUA